rnacentral:rRNA from 1 species
CCUACGGGAUGCUGCAGUGGGGAAUAUUGCACAAUGGGGGAAACCCUGAUGCAGCGACGCCGCGUGAGUGAAGAAGUAUUUCGGUAUGUAAAGCUCUAUCAGCAGGGAAGAAGAAAGACGGUACCUGACUAAGAAGCCCCGGCUAACUACGUGCCAGCAGCCGCGGUAAUACGUAGGGGGCAAGCGUUUUCCGGAUUUACUGGGUGGAAAGGGAGCGUAGACGGCUGUGCAAGUCUGAGGUGAAAGCCCAGGGCUCAACCCUGGGACUGCUUGGGAAACGGUGGAGCUAGAGUGCUGGAGAGAUAAGUGGAAUUCCUAGUGUAGCGGUGAAAUGCGUAGAUAUUAGGAGGAACACCAGUGGCGAAGGCGGCUUACUGGACAGUAACUGACGUUGAGGCUCGAAAGCGUGGGGAGCAAACAGGAUUAGAUACCCGUGUAGUC